GCUCCUGAGCCGCGCGUUUCGCUGACCCUGCGCUCCUCUCCACUUGAUUGGUCGCUAGCUCUUUCGGGCCCGCCCCCUCCCCUGCUGAACGAGGUCGCCCGGGAGACUGGCGCCCGGUUCCCAUGACAACCAGAGCCUGGGGCCUGGUUCGCUGCGUGGCUCAGACGCGCCAGACGCGCAGGUGGACUGCCCGCGACGCGCCGGGUUCCCGCAGGGUGGACGCGGCCUUGAUUCUAGAUUGUCACCUGGCCGUCUGAGCGGUGGGGGGUGAGGGAAGCGACAGAAAGAUCAAAACCGUGCCCUCUUCCUGCAGCGACGCCGCCGCCUGGCAAUGGCAGAGUCAACCGCGUCCCCUGGGGAGCUUUGCCACCCCUGCAAAGAGAGCCCCAGAGGUGUGGUGGCUUUGCACCCUGAAAGGCCCUCCGGGAAACUCCCAUACUCAUUUUAUUUUGGAAAAUAAAUAAAAAUAAAAUAAGUCUUUUGUCCUAAGAAA